rnacentral:rRNA from 1 species
GACGAACGCUGGCGGCGCGCUUAACACAUGCAAGUCGAGCGAGAACCAAGCCUUCGGGCUUGGGGAAAGCGGCGAACGGGUGAGUAACACGUGGGUAACCCACCCUUGGUACUGGGAUAGCCCGGGGAAACCCGGAUUAAUACCGGAUGGCCCAACAGCUCUUCGGGGCGGUUGGAAAAGGUAGCUUCGGCCUCCGACCAAGGACGGGCCCGCGGCGGAUUAGCUUGUUGGUGGGGUAAUGGCCCACCAAGGCGACGAUCCGUAGCUGGUCUGAGAGGACGAUCAGCCACACUGGGACUGAGACACGGCCCAGACUCCUACGGGAGGCAGCAGUGGGGAAUCUUGCGCAAUGGGCGAAAGCCUGACGCAGCGACGCCGCGUGGGGGAAGAAGGCUUUCGGGUUGUAAACCCCUUUCAGGAGAGACGAAGCCACUCAGGUUAAUAGCCGAGAGGGUGACGGUACCUUCAGAAGAAGCCCCGGCUAACUACGUGCCAGCCGCCGCGGUAACAC